rnacentral:tRNA from 1 species
GUAGAUAUGGUUCAGAGGUUAAAGAACACUAGCUGUUGUUCUAGAGAAUGUAGGUUCAAUUCCCAGCACCUACG